ACUAGGAUUAGAUACCCUAUUAUAUUAAUUUUAAAAAAAACUUGAUUAUUAAAUGUAAAACAUUAAAAUUUUAAAAAAUGGCUGUCAUAUAAAUUUUUAGGGGAACUUGUAUAUUAAUUCGAUGAACCACGAUAAAAAAUACUAAUAAAAUUUUAAAUUACUUUUGUAUUGUUGUUUACAGAUUUUGUAUUAAUAUUAUAAUUUAAAUUUUUUUUAUAAAAAAAAAUAAUUCAAAUCAAAAUAAAGUAUUUAUUAGGUAGUAUGAGUUACAUUAAUUAAUAAUUAAUUGAAUUAAAAAUUUUAAAAUUUUUAAUGAAUUGGAUUUAAAAGUAAGAUUAAUUAUUAUAUUAAUCUGAAUUUAUAUUUAUAUGGAGUACAAAUCGCCCGUCAAUUUCAAUAAAGUUGAAAUAAGUCGUAACAUAGUAAGAAUAUUGGAAAAUGUUCUUAGAAUAAA
rnacentral:rRNA from 1 species